rnacentral:rRNA from 1 species
AAACUUUCAACAACGGAUCUCUUGGUUCUGGCAUCGAUGAAGAACGCAGCGAAAUGCGAUAAGUAAUGUGAAUUGCAGAAUUCAGUGAAUCAUCGAAUCUUUGAACGCACAUUGCGCCCUGUGGUAUUCCGCAGGCAUGCCUGUUCGACGUCAUU